UCCAAAUAUUCUUUUUCAGCUGUAACAGAGCCUGGCAGAGAUAGGUGCUUUGGGCCCCUGUGUUCUGUUAACAAUAUCUCCAUUUGACAAUUCAGCUCUUGCUGGGAGGAGGCAGGCUUUGGAGUCACUGCCUGCCUUGCAUUAUGCUGAAUGUGGAAGCUCAAGAAUGCAAUCCAGAUAUGCUGACCAGAACAAGAGAGGUCACCAAUGGCCUUCAAAGGGUCAAAAAACAUAUCCUCUUUGCUUUCCCUUUUAGCACAAGACAAGCUCAUUGUAACUCACACUGCUUGCUGAGAUGAAAAGGUAACUAUUGGUGAAAUGAAAAUACAAAGAAUUUUAUGCCCUUCCUUCCUUCCUACCUGCAGCCUUGGACUCCAUAUGGGCGCUGUGAAUGACCAUGCAGCUCCUGGAGGAUGGAAGCUGAACAUCACAGAACAGCAGGUGGAGCACCAGUGGGUGAAGAGGGACCAGAUCCACCUGGCUGCAGCUUUUCCCAGCACAGCCUCCCUGGUGAUGCUCCAUGUGUGCUGACUAACCCAGCAAGAAUGAAUCUCCUCAAAUCCACCCCUCUUCAGCCUAGGGUGCUGUCUGCCUGCCCACUGUGAACGUCCUGCAUGCUAACAAACCUCUGGCUGCAUUGGUUCCUAGGAUUCAAUGCUCCUGCAUGCUGCUUCCUUGCUGUAUCUCUUUGGAGGUGAGUCUGGUUCAGCCACUCUCAGCAAAUGCAGUGACACUGUGCGGGCCUUGUUUAUUGUCCCUUUCCGACUUCAAAUGUCUCUCAAUUUACAAGUAAGAAGAUCCUCUUCCUGCCUGCCAGCUCUGCAGCUCAGCUCAUGACAGGCCGAGCAGCGCAGUGCUCCCAUUAUCCUACUAACAAAGACUCUAACAGCAUUUCCACUGCAGAGACGUUCAGCCCUGAGCUCCCCCCAUGGUGACAGAGUACUGGGCAGCUCUGGACCUGCAGUCCCUUACUGAACUUCCAGCCGUGUGUCAGAGACUGAAAUAAAGGCUGCCUUCCUGUGACCACAUGGCUCAGAGAGUAAAUACUAAAUAUGCACUGGGAGUAUCCAGUAAGCAAGGAAGUCCCAUUUUUGUCCAGUAGCUUUUCACAAUGGGAGCACUAUAUAAUGUGAUACUUCUCAGCUGAUGAAUGGGCAAGAAAAGCUCACCGGCUCAACCCAUGGCGCUUCCUUCAGAGUUUUGUUCCUUUGGAUGGAUGGUCGGACAGACCCACCCUCCUCCACAGUCACAGCUCCACCUGCACAGCGCUCCCAACCUCAACACUUUAGAAUCAAAUGAAACAAAAAGUAGCUCUACAACCACGAAAGGAUCACAGAAUAAGGAAAACUAUUUGGUCAACAAUGGCUACGUAGGAAGCAGUGAAGUUAUUUGCAUCUCUGGUUCUUAACAGAAGAUUUGAUGUACAGAAACAAGUAGCACCAGCUCUGCCUGAGCCCGGUGCUGAGCAGCAGCAGCAUCAUGGCUGGGCAGGAGUACCAGGACAGGUCAGCACCAGGGCUGGGGGGGGAGUACCAAAGCCAGGCAGCGGUACCAGAACCGGGCACUACUACCAGGACUGGACAGUACCGGGGUUGGGUAGCACCAGAACCAGGCAGUACCAGAACUGGUACUAAAACCAAGCAGUACCAAGGCUGGUGCAGCAGCACCAGGACCGGGCAGCGCUGCGCCUCGAGAGGGGAUGGUGUCCGCGAGGGGAGGCAGAGCGCGGCUCGGACGGCACGAACUCACCUGCCGUGCUGCUCCAGCCGCCGCCGCCGCGUUUGCCGGGUCCGUGCCCGCCGGUCGGGGCGGUGCCGGGGGCGGACCCGCUUCCUGCCCGGCUCCGGCCUGAGGCACAAAUUCUUCACCUGUUUGGAAAUUCGAGCGGGGACAUCCGAGUUCUGAGCCCGCGGCGUGAUUUCUGUGCUGCGCUCUGCGGCUCAAUUCGCUUCGGCAGCGUUUCAGUAGAAGGACGGAGGGAAAAGCGAUGCCCGAAUUGCUGAGCUCGGCCCAGAGCUGCUCUGCGAGGUUCAGUAACACCGUGAGGGCGCUGAACGGCACCGUCCAACACGCAGGAAGCACCGCAGGGCGCUCCUGUCCCAAACCUGCUGUGUCCCUCUUCUCUGCUGCACCUGGAAGGAUUUAGAAGAUGAUUCCUCUCAUUCUGACCCCUGGGAAAGCUGAUGGCAUGGGGAGAAAUACAGCUGGGCUCAGUGGUUGUGUGCCCUGGUUCUAUCUGGCUCUGACCAGGCUGCCCAGAGAGGCUGUGGAUGCCCCGUCCAUCCCUGGAGGUGAUCCAGGCCUGGGCUGGUAUUAAAUGUGGAGGUUGGUGGCCCUGCCUGCAGUGGGGGAUUGGAGCUUCAUGAUCCUUGAGGUCCCUUCCAACCUGGGCCAUCCUGUGAUUCUAUGAAAAAAAGCAGAAGACAGAAAACAUGCGUAUCAGUGGGGUAUAGAUAUAAAUUCAGGUUUGUCACUUAGUUACAGCUGUGGCUUAGCUGAGGAUUGGGGUCACUCCUGCACACACCUGCAGGCCAAGAACCCCCUUUUACAUGUGUGCACAGAGAAAACACAAUGGUGUGAGGCAAUGAACCCAUCUGUAACUGGGCAAUGGAGUGAAGGUCCUCGUGUGGAUGUGCAGGAGCUCUGAAGGUGGGAGUUUCAGAGUGGCCCUGAGGACAGCCUGCAGGCAGCAUGUCUGUGCAAACUGGUUCCUGUGCUUCAAGCAGUUGAUUAUCACUGCUGGAGAAUGCAGCCCUUCCUUCCAGAGACCCCCAAGGUGGUUCUUGCUGAAAACUGAGCAAGGCACAUGAACAGCUGACAGAAACCACCUGCAGGUGAAGAAAUAGCUCCAUAGGGCAGAUCCUUGGUGUGACUGUUUCAGGAUUUGUUUGAGUCCUGCAUGUGAGCAGAAGACUCAACAAGGUCACAAAGAAGCGUUAAGAGUUUUGCAUGGAUACCUGUUCAGGUUUCUUCAGGUACUUCAAUGUGUGAGCGGCUCAGUGUGUCUUAAAUCACAAAAGGCACUUUGUCACAUUCUACUGCAAAGAAGAAAAGGAAGCACACAGUCAGAUUUCAUAUAACAGCGAAACAAAACAGCAAAAUUCAGUUCAAAAAUUAAGUAUCUUUAUUUUACAGGUUUAGAAAAUCUUUACAUUUUUAAACUAAAACAGGCUAAAGUCCUUUUAUUUCUUAAGCAAAACAGAUGAAAAAAAAAAAAACAAAAAAACAGACCCAACAAAUCAAUUUCAGCAGAUCAGUCAUUUUCAAGUUUGCUUUCUUUUACCACAUGUGCCCAAAACAGGCAAAGAUGGAAAACCACACGGAAAAGACAACAAGAAACCCCAGGGAUAGGAAUCGGCUCUUGUCCUCACACCUCCCCCAUGGUAAUUACGCUAUGGUUGGGUUUUCUUUUCCUCUCCCCAUGUUUUAAUUCACAGAAGGAAGAAGCAAACCUCCAUUUGGUGAUUGGAAAUGCUGUAUCUUAUAAUGCAUUUGCACACACAGAAAUAGCUGGGGUGAUUCUCUGUGCAGCCGGACACAAGGCUGCAGAUGGAGCAGACGAAGGGGCUGACCUCAAAACCACAGAACUAAACAGGCUCACAGGGGGAAGAACACACCCAGACAGAACCAAGGAGCUGAUGGGGGUUUUACAGGACCCGCAGCCUCUGAAAAACAGAAAUGUUUGCCAAAAUGUUGCAACUUGGAAAUGAUGUUUCUCUCUCAGCUGCUGCAAUGGAUCUUGGCCGUUUUCAGCUGCUUUCCUUGAGAGGGAACAUGUUGUAUUACUGUUUCCAAACCUCAGACCUUCCACCAUAGAUACAUCACAGAUACAAUUCCCCACCUCAUUUAUCUACCCUUGUAGACACCAGGCAGCAAUUUACCAAGUGACUGGUCAUAUCUGUCAUCGAUCUAAAGACAGUCAAACCACAUUCUCCCACCACAUUACCUGAAUGUUUGUCUGAAUAUUUCACCUUUGAUAUUCAAAGGUGAAAGACUCACAGAAGAGCAAGUUAUUGAAAUGAAAACAUCCCAAAGUGCCAUUCAAUGCAACUCAAUCUACAUUUCAAAAUACAACAUUUCUUAUCUGGGUAGAAAAAGCACUGCAACUAUUUAACGUGUGCUUUGAUGUGAUUUCUGCCCAGAGGAUUUAUUGGCUUCACAUUAGCAAAACAAAACCAAACACAUCUCUGUAAGAUGGGAUCUGAACCAUCAGCCUCAAUGCUUUCCUACUGAGCUAUAAACUCCCCAUCCUUCGUGGAUUUAAGGUUUCCUGUGCUUCCCAUGGCCAGCCCUGGUCUUCUCCACCACCACCAACCCCACAUCUAUUGAUUCCAGUGCCAUUCCUCCAUGAAGUACGAUACAUGCACUGCACAGCUAUGGGAUGAAGACAGGAACAGAACAAAAGAGCUGGAUGUGAGCACUCACUUCAAGAGCCAAUAUAGGCAUUCUCUUGUUUGCUUUUAUUUCUUGAUUUUUACUGGGCUAUCCAGGGGAGGUAUAAAAACAGCUGAGCAAAAGGAAGGAAGGAAUCCUUCAAGGCCAAAGGCAUUUAAUAGGAAGUAGAGAAGUUAAGCAGAGAUCUGAGAGAUUUCUAAGUCAGUAACAAAGCUCUAUGAACUGUAGGGUGAACCAUCCAGAGGAGGCACUGAACAGACGUGGUGACCCAACAAAUUCAUUUUGAAACAGCUUUAAAAAGAACAACAAAACCCAACAAAAUGGUAACUGAGCAUUCUGCUGCCCACCGGAUUCUACAGAGCAAAACAAGAACUGCAGGUAAAUACAGAGCUCCCAGAUGUCAUGUUAUUUGACUGAUGGGUGCAGUCACGCAUUGUGUUCCUGCAGCUCCGUUCAGUAGUUACCUUCUUCCUGCCUCCACAACCUGUGCUAUUUCCCAGCAUACUUAGAAAUCAACUGGCUUUAGCAUUAUGGCCACAGAGUAACGAUGCGUCACAGAUGCAAAAAAAUCAAUUCUUAAGCAUGGAAAUGGGCAUGUCUGAAAAACAGAGGGCAUUCUUAACAGACAGACUGAGGUCUAAGUGGGGAGAAAAAAAAAAGAGCAGCUUCUGCAGGGCAAGUUUCACUGAUUAUCUGAGAUCAAGGAAUCAGGUU